rnacentral:rRNA from 1 species
UGGUGGAGCGAUCUGUCUGAUUAAUUUCGUUAACGAACGAGACCUCGACCUGCUAAAUAGUUCGGCGUAGGAUUCUUCCUAUGCACGUGGCUUCUUAGAGGGACUGUGGGUUCAAGCCCAAGGAAGUUCGAGGCAAUAACA